UCGGUAGCUCAGUUGGAUAGAGCAACAGCCUUCUAAGCUGUGGGUCCCGGGUUCGAAUCCCGGC
rnacentral:tRNA from 1 species